UACGUAGGGGGCAAGCGUUGUCCGGAUUUAUUGGGCGUAAAGAGCGUGUAGGCGGCCAGGUAGGUCUGCUGUGAAAACUCGAGGCUUAACCUCGAGAUGUCGGCGGAAACCAUCUGGCUAGAGUCCGGAAGAGGAGAGCGGAAUUCCUGGUGUAGCGGUGAAAUGCGCAGAUAUCAGGAGGAACACCAGUGGCGAAGGCGGCUCACUGGACCGGAACUGACGCUGAGGCGCGAAAGCGUGGGGAGCAAACGGG
rnacentral:rRNA from 1 species